AAGUGACGGCAUGUAUUCUUAAAAUGGCUGCAAAUAGAUACAAAGAUCGGUGAUGUAGGCUUCAUAAAUACUGCAAUGAGCUGCGAGCAAAGGAGAUUGACCCUAUGACCUGGCCUUAUAAAAAUUGGGCUGGGUCUAGUGACGAUUGACGGUGGUUAUGCGAGCAUUUUGAGAGUGAGGCAUUUCAGCGACGAUCGGAGGUGAAUAGGAGUAAGAUUGAUUCUAUUUACACGCAAGGAAGUAUCUCUUUUGCACAGAGAAUGAAAAGGAUGGGACUAUCUGGGGUUGACGCCUAUGUUAAAUUCUAUUAAAACAAGAGUGGCGAGUUUGUAACCGAGGAGGCGAGGUAGCAUCAUGUAA